rnacentral:ncRNA from 1 species
UAUCGGCGUACAUCACCGGGAACGUGUUCCCACCGAGGUGCCGAGAGGGGCAAGCCUCGGCAACCCUCUCCGCAAGGAAGAAAGCCGGAACAUCAAGUGUUGAGUAGGGUUUGGUAGGCUCUCGCUCGAAGAACCCGGACUCU